ACGCUGGCGGCAUGCUUUACACAUGCAAGUCGGACGGCAGCACAGAGAAGCUUGCUUCUUGGGUGGCGAGUGGCGAACGGGUGAGUAACAUAUCGGAACGUACCGAGCAGUGGGGGAUAACUAAUCGAAAGAUUAGCUAAUACCGCAUAUUUUCUGAGGAAGAAAGCAGGGGACCAUUUGGCCUUGCGCUGUUUGAGCGGCCGAUAUCUGAUUAGCUAGUUGGUGGGGUAAAGGCCUACCAAGGCGACGAUCAGUAGCGGGUCUGAGAGGAUGAUCCGCCACACUGGGACUGAGACACGGCCCAGACUCCUACGGGAGGCAGCAGUGGGGAAUUUUGGACAAUGGGCGCAAGCCUGAUCCAGCCAUGCCGCGUGUCUGAAGAAGGCCUUCGGGUUGUAAAGGACUUUUGUCAGGGAAGAAAAGGGCGGGGUUAAUACCCCUGUCUGAUGACGGUACCUGAAGAAUAAGCACCGGCUAACUACGUGCCAGCAGCCGCGGUAAUACGUAGGGUGCGAGCGUUAAUCGGAAUUACUGGGCGUAAAGCGGGCGCAGACGGUACUUAAGCAGGAUGUGAAAUCCCCGGGCUCAACCUGGGAACUGCGUUCUGAACUGGGUGACUAGAGCGUGUCAGAGGGAGGUAGAAUUCCACGUGUAGCAGUGAAAUGCGUAGAGAUGUGGAGGAAUACCGAUGGCGAAGGCAGCCUCCUGGGAUAACACUGACGUUCAUGCCCGAAAGCGUGGGUAGCAAACAGGAUUAGAUACCCUGGUAGUCCACGCCCUAAACGAUGUCGAUUAGCUGUUGGGCAGCAUGACUGCUUAGUAGCGAAGCUAACGCGUGAAAUCGACCGCCUGGGGAGUACGGUCGCAAGAUUAAAACUCAAAGGAAUUGACGGGGACCCGCACAAGC
rnacentral:rRNA from 1 species